rnacentral:rRNA from 1 species
AUUGAACGCUGGCGGCAGGCCUAACACAUGCAAGUCGAACGAGUGGCGGACGGGUGAGUAAUGUCUGGGAAACUGCCUGAUGGAGGGGGAUAACUACUGGAAACGGUAGCUAAUACCGCAUACCAUCAGAUGUGCCCAGAUGGGAUUAGCUAGUAGGUGGGGUAAAGGCUCACCUAGGCGACGAUCCCUAGCUGGUCUGAGGGGAUGACCAGCCACACUGGAACUGAGACACGGUCCAGACUCCUACGGGAGGCAGCAGUGGGGAAUAUUGCACAAGGGGCGCAAGCCUGAUGCAGCCAUGCCGCGUGUGGGAAGAAGGCCUUCGGGUUGUAAAGUACGUUCAGCGGGGAGGCGUUACCCGCAGAAGAAGCACCGGCUAACUCCGUGCCAGCAGCCGCGGUAAUAC